UACAAAAGAGUAAAAUACAAGGACCACUUCCUCUCCUCCGAGGUCCACCGAAACCUGCAAUGCUAAAUGAAACGUAAAGCUAAUUACUAUAACAAUUAGAUACUUUUUGGUAAUGAACUUUUAGGUCUUAAUAAUCUCAACCAUUUAGUUCACAAGCACAAAAGGUUCUCUAUUCACACUUCCUCGAAGUUCAUCCAUGCACAAUAACAGUUAUAAUUGUUUCAACUGCUACAUGCACUACAUUUUAUCCCCUUCACAAUAGAAACUUCACACUGUAAAAGCAAUCACUACAAUCUCCUAUAAGGAAGAUGAUUAUACUUCUAAACUAUUAACCAGCAACAAUCCACAUUGAUAAACAUACAGAAUCUGUCACUAUUACUUUUCCAGUGUUUGUAGCAAGAAAAUUUCAUUUAUCCCAUAUAGCAUCCAAUUAGUUCAUCUCUUAGUCUUUAAUAGUGUAAUAUAUCUAAAAAUCUGGACUUAAUAGAGUCAAUAUGUUCAAAUCCUUUUAUAGAUCAAUUUGGGGAAGCCUCUUUCUAGAUUUGAGCCCUAAUUUAGCAAAAAAUCAAGUCCUGAUUGGAACAACACAAAAAUGAAGAAAUAAACUUCCCUGAACGGUGGAGGAGGGCAGGGCUCGCUCCGGCAGACAGCGGGUUGAGAUUUGAGCUGGGGCUGCGCGGCAGUGUCUGGAAACUGACGGUGGUGACAGGAAAAGGGCGAAGGUGACUGGGCGGCGGGAGACGGUGGCAGGAGGUGUUUGGCGCUGCUGGUAUGGUGUAAAUCGCGCCGACUGGUGGCUCUUCCUCGGCGUUCAUGAUAGGAACGAUGGGUGGCGCACGAAGCCGCCUUGUGUAGAUGCCGGGAGAUGGUGGGGGGCAGCGGUUCUGGAGUGGGUCGCGGUGGUGUUGCGUUGCGACGAAGGCGGCUGGGCUGGUGCUGUGGUGGUCGGACAGGUGGUGCGGCCGAAAGAGGGAGUUCAGCGGCGGAUUGAAGCUAGGGCACGGCGGCGGCAAGGAGCCGCUGUUGUCGCCGGAGUAUGGAGAGAAGAGGGGGCUUUGGGCUGCGCUCGGAGGCGGCCGGCCUUCCCGCCGUGGCGGUCGAACGGGAAGUCGGUAGGGAGGUGGCUGUAGAUUAUAGAUCUAGGAGUUUCAGGGCGUGGUGUGGUGUGCGUGCAUUUAAGUCAGAGAGAAAGGAGAUUAAGAGGGAGACGAGGGUGGGCGGCAGCGGCGCGACGCAGCGACGGGCCGGCGCGGGCAGCGCCGCCGGCGGCGGAGUGGAGAGGGGAGAGAGAGAGUCGAGAGAGACAGGGAGGACGCAGGAGGAGGCAGGGAGAUUAGAUGUGAGAGAUGAAGAAAACUAGGGCUUCUAGUUUCUAAAUUUCCUAAAUAAAAUCUUUUUUUUUUCUUUUUUUCAGUUUUAAUAUUCAAUUUUGGUAUUUAGAUUUCUAAUUUAGAUUUUAUAUAAGUGUUACUUAAUGAUAAAACAAAAAAAUGUUAUGAUUUUUUUAUUUUUCAAAGUCUAUAUCUAGAAAUAAAUUCAGAUUUUAGGAUAAAGAAUUUAUAUGUUAUUUUUUAAUAUAAUAUAAUAUAAUAUAAUACUAUAAUUUUAAAAAAAUUAAUAAAAAAAAUUAUACACAACAGUUUUUAGAUACGCUCAAACAUAACGGUUCCAAAACCGUUGUAAAUGACUCUUAUACAUAACGGUUCUUUAACGUUAUGAAUAAACCGUUAUAAAAGAUGGUCAUAGAUAACGGUGGCUU
rnacentral:lncRNA from 1 species